GAGUUUGAUCAUGGCUCAGGACGAACGCUGGCGGCGUGGAUUAGGCAUGCAAGUCGAACGGUAUCGGUUCCUUCGGGGAUCGAGAGAGUGGCGAACGGGUGAGUAACACGUAGGYUAUCUGCCCUCGAGAUCGGGACAACCCAGGGAAACUUGGGCUAAUACCGGAUGCGUGCUACUGUAGUGGUAGCAUAAAAGGUGGCAUUUGCUGCCGCUUGAGGAUGAGCCUGCGUCCUAUUAGUUAGUUGGUGAGGUAAUGGCUUACCAAGGCGAUGAUAGGUAGGCGGCCUUAACGGGUGGUCGCCCACACUGGGAUUGAGAUACGGCCCAGACUCCUACGGGAGGCAGCAGUCGAGAAUAGUCUACAAUGGUCGAAAGACUGAUAGUGCGACGCCGCGUGAACGAAGACUCCUUU
rnacentral:rRNA from 1 species